UACGGAGGAUGCAAGCGUUAUCCCGAUUUAUUGGGUUUAAAGGGUGCGCAGGUUGUUUGAUAAGUCAGUGGUGAAAGUCUGUCGCUUAACGGUAGGAUUGCCAUUGAUACUGUUGGACUUGAAUAUGGAUGAGGUAGGCGGAAUGUGUAGUGUAGCGGUGAAAUGCAUAGAUAUUACACAGAACACCGAUUGCGAAGGCAGCUUACUAAUCCAUCAUUGACGCUGAGGCACGAAAGUGUGGGGAUCAAACA
rnacentral:rRNA from 1 species